rnacentral:rRNA from 1 species
GACGAACGCUGGCGGCGUGCCUAAUACAUGCAAGUAGAACGCUGAAGAGAGGAGCUUACUCUUCUUGGAUGAGUUGCGAACGGGUGAGUAACGCGUAGGUAACCUGCCUUGUAGCGGGGGAUAACUAUUGGAAACGAUAGCUAAUACCGCAUAACAAUGGAUGACACAUGUCAUUUAUUUGAAAGGGGCAAUUGCUCCACUACAAGAUGGACCUGCGUUGUAUUAGCUAGUAGGUGAGGUAAUGGCUCACCUAGGCGACGAUACAUAGCCGACCUGAGAGGGUGAUCGGCAAAGCUGGGACUGAGACACGGCCCAGACUCCUACGGGAGGCAGCAGUAGGGAAUCUUCGGCAAUGGGGGCAACCCUGACCGAGCAACGCCGCGUGAGUGAAGAAGGUUUUCGGAUCGUAAAGCUCUGUUGUAAGUCAAGAACGGGUGUGAGAGUGGAAAGUUCACACUGUGACGGUAGCUUACCAGAAAGGGACGGCUAGCUACGUG